GGAGAUAUGCCUCAGUGGUUAAGAGCACUGACUGUUCUUCCAGAGGUCCUGAGUUCAAUUCCCAGCAACCACA
rnacentral:tRNA from 1 species